rfam:Turicibacter sanguinis PC909 contig00112, whole genome shotgun sequence.
GUUUUAGAUAGAGGUGCGGUAACUAAGAGUACUAUUGAAGAGUGAAGACGUAGACGCAAUAGGAAAGGAGUUCUCGCCGAAGCCUAUCAUCGAUACUUUAAGGUGAUAGAGCUGGUGUUAUGUAAAAUAUACUUAACACUGUCACAAAAUAUUUUGUGGUGAGCUAUCAUUUAA